UACGUAGGGUGCGAGCGUUGUCCGGAAUUAUUGGGCGUAAAGGGCUCGUAGGCGGUUUGUCACGUCGGGAGUGAAAACUCAGGGCUCAACCCUGAGCGUGCUUCCGAUACGGGCAGACUAGAGGUAUGCAGGGGAGAACGGAAUUCCUGGUGUAGCGGUGGAAUGCGCAGAUAUCGGGAGGAACACCGGUGGCGAAGGCGGUUCUCUGGGCAUUACCUGACGCUGAGGAGCGAAAGCAUGGGGAGCGAACAGG
rnacentral:rRNA from 1 species